rnacentral:rRNA from 1 species
GACGAACGCUGGCGGCGUGCCUAAUACAUGCCAGUAGAACGCACAGUUUAUACCGUAGCUUGCUACACCAUACACUGUGAGUUGCGAACGGGUGAGUAACGCGUAGGUAACCUGCCUGGUAGCGGGGGAUAACUAUUGGAAACGAUAGCUAAUACCGCAUAAUAUUAAUUAUUGCAUGAUAAUUGAUUGAAAGAUGCAAUUGCAUCACUACCAGAUGGACCUGCGUUGUAUUAGCUAGUAGGUGAGGUAACGGCUCACCUAGGCGACGAUACAUAGCCGACCUGAGAGGGUGAUCGGCCACACUGGGACUGAGACACGGCCCAGACUCCUACGGGAGGCAGCAGUAGGGAAUCUUCGGCAAUGGACGAAAGUCUGACCGAGCAACGCCGCGUGAGUGAAGAAGGGUUUCGGAUCGUAAAGCUCUGUUGUAAGAGAAGAACGGGUGUGAGAGUGGAAAGUUCACACUGUGACGGUAUCUUACCAGAAAGGGACGGCUAACUACGUG